ensembl:lncRNA
GAAUCGAGUCCAGCGACCUCCCCCUGUUAGCUGCAGUGGCCAGUACUCACUCCCCGUACGUGGCCCAGAUCCUGCUAUGAGACCGUACGAGCAGCUCCUGGACCAGUCGGACCUGAGCGGCGUCACUGUGGCCUCAAAACCGGCCGUCCAAACCUCCCAGAAGACCCCUGACAUGGUGUUCCUGACCUGUGUGCCUGGCCUAGCGCGGGAUCUUUGCCCUGAGCAGCACGUCUUCACGGACCACAGACGACACUUCAAACCAGUGCUGCUGAAUGUGGAGCAGUGCUGCUGUUGCACCACAGGGUGGCGUUAGAGACCACAGACCGAGAGACGGAGUGAGGCUCUGCGGAUGACUGAAGCGUCCCUGAAACGACCUUCUCCUGUUGUUUGAAUGUUUCUUUUAAAACGAGACUCCUUUAUUUUUGGACGCAAAAGCCAAAGACUUUGUUAAUUUUUCCAGCUGAGAAUGACAUUUUAAGAUACCUACAGUAUAAUAACAUUGGAUUUUAUUUCUUCGACUGCUUUUAUUUUUUUUUCUUUCUGUACAAUCUUAAACCCAGUCGUACAAAGUGAUGGGUGUUUAGAGGAGAUGGAUGGACAUUUUUAGACUUUAUUUUGAGGUAAAUAUCACCGAGAAAGUUAUCAAUCUCAUGCCAAUUAUGUCAUUGUGUUUAUCUCCAUGUUUUUGUUUACAAGCCAAAUUUCCCUGAAAUAUCUCAACAGAAUCCCACAGAUUUCUUUUGUUUGACUGCACCUGACUUUAAAGGCAGUUUUUUAAUUGAAUAAUUGAUGCUCACCUUGAUUUUUAGUUCUACAAACUGGUUUUGAAUUAGCUAAAAGUGGCUUUGACAUUCUUAUCACAGGUACAGCACUACCUCAGAUCUGUGUAUGGGCAGUAAAUUAACACACACAUUUACAGCUGCCCCAUAGAAAAACCCUGAGGUAAACUUUUUAAGAUAUUUUAAUCAGAGGAAUGUCAACUGUGCAGACUCGAUGCUGUGUUCUUUGAAAAAGGGAAGGCUGUUUUAAUUCCUUCGGAUGAUCGUUACACACAAAAAACGGAAGGAAAAACGUAUUUUUUGAAUGUGAUUAAGAAGGGGUCCCUUUAUACUGUGGAAAAGCUAAAAAAAACAACACACAUUAUCUAUUUUACAACCAAAAUGCUGAAAUAUUUUCACACUUUUAUAGCGCUGCCACCUUUGUACGAUGUUUACGGCUUUGUUGUUUGCUGCAAGAGUAGAGGAACACAGUAGGCCUUAUAGUGGAUAUGUAUGUAUCGGCUAACACUAUUUUCAAGCUCGUUUUUAUGAUGGUUAAUACUCACAAAAACGCAAAAUACAGAAGGCAUACUUGGACAUGUCUUUUUUUUUUGGUUUAGUUUUAUUGACAGAUUUUGGUUGCUACACCGUAUAAGCAGGGUGUGAUUUGCUGAAAACUGCGACAUUAUUUGCAUUAUUAAAUCAUCAGUUGACAGCAUUGGGAAUUAAAUAAGGAAGUCUCACACUGUCUGAAUAGGACAAGCAAUCAGAUAUAUGCUCACAGACAGCAAUUUUUUACUAGAAUAAUUUGACAAAUGCUAAGUUUUUGGAACUCUUAGAUGUGGCUCGGGCUUGUUUUUGGCUUUUAGGAUCUAUUCAACUGACAACUGGACAUCGUUUGCGUCUUUCAGCUCAAAUCGCACCCUGAAUAUAACAAGUCUUAAUGGAGAAGUGGCAGGCUUCCUGAGAGCUCAUUUUUUGCUGUUAAAAAUCGAUAUAUACAUGCUUGUUGCUGUUUUGAAAAUGCACCGCUGUUAUCAACCUACGUUUUGUACAAGCCAGCCAUUAUGUUUAAAAAGGUAUGACUUUAUAUCCGCUUCUCCCUCUUUGUAUAUGAAUAAAUUAUUUAGUUGCCCACGGUUAAGCGUAACGGUUCGCGUAAACUGUACAUACUCGAGUUUUAUUUCCAUGUAUUUGUACAGAAUGUCUUUUAAGAAUUGUCUCCUCAGAUUAUUUUUUCCCAAUUUUAUGGGAAUGUUGUGCAAUAAAGAUGCUGAUGUUGAGAGA